rnacentral:rRNA from 1 species
AGCGAACGCUAGCGGCGGGCUUAACACAUGCAAGUCGAGCGGACUUCUUCGGAAGUCAGCGGCGAACGGGUGAGUAACACGUAGGUAACGUACCCUCUGGUGGGGAAUAACUCAGGGAAACUUGAGCUAAUACCGCAUGUGCCCUUCGGGGUGAAAGACUUCGGUUGCCAGAGGAUCGGCCUGCGGCCCAUUAUUUAAUCCUAGUUGGUAGGGUAACGGCCUACCAAGGGUACGAUGGGUAGCUGGUCUGAGAGGAUGAUCAGCCACACUGGGACUGAGACACGGCCCAGACUCCUACGGGAGGCAGCAGUGGGGAAUAUUGGACAAUGGGCGAAAGCCUGAUCCAGCCACGCCGCGUGAGUGAUGAAGGCCUUGGGUUGUAAAGACUCUGUCGGGAGGGACGGAAGUUCGUUGACGGUACCUCCCAAGAAAGACGCCGGCUAACUCCGUG